rnacentral:rRNA from 1 species
AGAGUUUGAUCAUGGCUCAGAUUGAACGCUGGCGGCGUGCCUAACACAUGCAAGUCGAGCGGUAACAGGUGUAGCAAUACAUGCUGACGAGCGGCGAACGGGUGAGUAAUGCUUCGGAAUCUUCCCAUGUAGUGGGGAAUAACUAGCCGAAAGGUUAGCUAAUACCGCAUACGUCCUACGGGAGAAAGCAGGGGAUCGCAAGACCUUGCGCUAUUGGAUGAGCCGAAGUCGGAUUAGCUAGUUGGUGAGGUAACGGCUCACCAAGGCGACAAUCCGUAGCUGGUCUGAGAGGACGACCAGCCACACUGGGACUGAGACACGGCCCAGACUCCUACGGGAGGCAGCAGUGGGGAAUAUUGGACAAUGGGGGAAACCCUGAUCCAGCGACGCCGCGUGUGUGAAGAAGGCCUGCGGGUUGUAAAGCACUUUUAGUGGGGAUGAAAAGCCUAGGGUUAAUACCUCUGGGUCUUGACCUAACCCACAGAAAAAGCACCGGCUAACUCUGUGCCAGCAGCCGCGGUAAUACAGAGGGUGCAAGCGUUAAUCGGAAUUACUGGGCGUAAAGCGUGCGUAGACGGUUAUGUAAGUCAGAUGUGAAAGCCCCGGGCUCAACCUGGGAAUUGCAUUUGAGACUGUGUAGCUAGGGUGCGGAAGAGGGAAGCGGAAUUUCCGGUGUAGCGGUGAAAUGCGUAGAUAUCGGAAGGAACACCAGUGGCGAAAGCGGCUUCCUGGUCCAGCACCGACGUUCAGGCACGAAAGCGUGGGGAGCAAACAGGAUUAGAUACCCUAGUAGUCC